ACAAUAGUGGCUGUGGCUUUGGUACAUUCGAGGCUCAUCCAGUUUGCACGUUUCCGUUUCGGUGGCUGAGAAUACGCAUGAGUUGACGUCUAGACGUUGGAUGGUAGUGCUUUCCGGUGAAAGUGGUUGCGGUUGGUCGAAAAGAUCGAUGGCAUUGUUCAAGUGGUUUUCUACCAAUUUUAAUUUGCGUGUAUUAUUUCAUUGCGGUUGCAUCGCCGGUGGAGGCGAUUGCAACAUCCUUGCAGCUGGUGCAUGGUGGUGGAUUGUAGUGCUUCAGAAUUGUGUAGUGCGGCGGUACCUACUGCACCAAUUUAUUUUCUUCUCGAGUAAUUCUUGGUGGGGUGGAGUCGCAGUACAUGACGGGGUGUCGUGCUGAGAAGGCGGUGACUACACAUUGAAGUGGUCACCGAGAGAGGUCUGGAAGUGAAAUUUUGUACCUUGGAGUUGCUGGUGGUAUUGAUUGUGCUUCGAGGCAGCCAACUACGUGGAGUUGCGAGAAACUUUAGAAUUAGCAGGGACAUGUUAGAGCCGUCAAUGAGGAAGAAUACAAUUGCUAUGGAUUGACAUCGAUGGCGUUGGAGUUAUAACCUUGGAUAGAACGUAAGGCGGGAAAUCUCAUGUCAAACGUUGGACAAUCUCUGUCACAGCUUGUCUAGUAACUAGGCGUACAAGCAAGGAUUGCGGAGCAUGGUAGAUUGCGGUGGAGUCGAUUCACAUCAGUCCGACCAACGCGGCACUCCUUCCAGCUCGGUGAGGACUCCAGGGCAAUGACAUCACGAGUAGAUUAGAUUUAGAUGAAUUAAAUUAAGAUUUUAAAAUCCUAAUUCAGGGAUAGAACAAAUUAGGAUUUGGACAAUAUAAUGUUGGAUGAAUUAAUGUUUGGAUGAAUUUUAGUAGAUGAAAGAUUAUUCAUAGAUGAAUUAUUAUUCACAAAUGAAUUUUUAUUCAUAGAUGAUUUUUUAUUAAUGAAUGAAUUUUAAUUAAAAUUUAAUUUAAUUUAA